UACGAAGGGAGCUAGCGUUGUUCGGAAUUACUGGGCGUAAAGCGCACGUAGGCGGAUCAGUCAGUCAGAGGUGAAAUCCCAGGGCUCAACCCUGGAACUGCCUUUGAUACUGCUGGUCUGGAGGUCGAGAGAGGUGAGUGGAAUUCCGAGUGUAGAGGUGAAAUUCGUAGAUAUUCGGAGGAACACCAGUGGCGAAGGCGGCUCACUGGCUCGGAUACUGACGCCUGAGGUGCGAAAGCGUGGGGAGCAAACAGG
rnacentral:rRNA from 1 species